rnacentral:rRNA from 1 species
GAUGAACGCUAGCGGCAGGCCUAAUACAUGCAAGUCGAACGAUACCAUCUGGCUUGCCAGAUGGGAAAGUGGCGCACGGGUGCGUAACGCGUAUGCAACCUACCUUAAUCAGGGGGAUAGCCCGAAGAAAUUCGGAUUAACACCGCAAUAAAAACACAGGGUAGCAUUACCUCAUGUUCAAAUAUUUAUAGGAUUAAGAU